rnacentral:rRNA from 1 species
GACGAACGCUGGCGGCGUGCCUAAUACAUGCAAGUUGAGCGCUGAAGGUUGGUACUUGUACCCACUGGAUGAGCAGCGAACGGGUGAGUAACGCGUGGGGAAUCUGCCUUUGAGCGGGGGACAACAUUUGGAAACGAAUGCUAAUACCGCAUAAAAACUUUAAACACAAGUUUUAAGUUUGAAAGAUGCAAUUGCAUCACUCAAAGAUGAUCCCGCGUUGUAUUAGCUAGUUGGUGAGGUAAAGGCUCACCAAGGCGAUGAUACAUAGCCGACCUGAGAGGGUGAUCGGCCACAUUGGGACUGAGACACGGCCCAAACUCCUACGGGAGGCAGCAGUAGGGAAUCUUCGGCAAUGGACGAAAGUCUGACCGAGCAACGCCGCGUGAGUGAAGAAGGUUUUCGGAUCGUAAAACUCUGUUGGUAGAGAAGAACGUUGGUGAGAGUGGAAAGCUCAUUAAGGGACGGUAACUACCCAGAAAGGGACGGCUAACUACGU